UACGGAGGGUGCGAGCGUUGUCCGGAAUCACUGGGCGUAAAGGGCGCGUAGGCGGCCUGAUAAGUAGGGGGUGAAAUCCUGCGGCUUAACCGCAGGGCUGCCUUCUAAACUGUCAGGCUAGAGCACAGUAGAGGCAGGUGGAAUUCCCGGUGUAGCGGUGGAAUGCGUAGAGAUCGGGAAGAACAUCAGUGGCGAAGGCGGCCUGCUGGGCUGUUGCUGACGCUGAGGCGCGACAGCGUAGGGAGCAAACAGG
rnacentral:rRNA from 1 species